AAUGUCAACCUCUUCAUCGAAUCAACUUUAAUGGAAACAUUGCGGCUCGAGAAACAAAAUGAUAACGAACAAAUUGUUUCAAGGAGUUUUGACGUCGCCCAGAGCAGAUGUCAAAAAGUCUCGGUAAAUUUGCACUGGAACAAACAGAAGAGUUUUUCAUAUCAUGCCCGGGGGUUAAUCUUGGUAUUUGUACAAAACCCACUCGAUCCCUCGAGCGAGAGCUACAGCAACAGAAGAGAGAACAUCAGAGAAGUCAAGACAACGUUGUGAUGGAACAUUAGAGGAAGUGUUCUAAAAGCUUUUAAUUUGGAGUGUAAAUAAUAGGCGACCAUGAGGUAUAGAAGAGUCCUUGGUUCCUGUCCCCGCCGUUCCCUUACAGAAUCCAGUCCGGUGGUCUUUUUCUCCGGUAUUUGUUUGGCAAUAAUAAGCUAAACAUGACAGCCAUGUCAGUUACACGCAAGUGAGAUACUUUUAUAAAAACAAAUUCAUUAAAUCUGAUUUUCGCCAUAUGCCGCGAUAUGAUUUCAAGCUUCAAAAGAGAAACAAACACUAGAGGUGCCAGAUACAUGGUUUCAAU